ensembl:lncRNA DISC1FP1 DISC1 fusion partner 1
UGAGAUGUGCUUUUCACCUUCCACCAUGAUUGUGGGGCCUCCCCAGCCACAUUGAAAUGCAUUUAUGAAGUAGGGACCUGGAAUUGAAGAGACUCCUAAAGGAGAGACAGAAGUUUGAAAGAGCAAGAAGAGUGGAUGUGGAUCCAGACAGAAAAAGAGAACAGCAAAUAUUUGAAAGAGCUUAAGACGUACUCCUCAAGGGGUUUCUCCUUUUGCGUCUUUCUCAUUUCUUUUGCUGCCACCGUGUAAGAAGUGCCUUUUGCCUCCUGCCAUGAUUCUGAGGCCUCCCCAGUCAUGUGGAACUGUACCACAGAUAGAAGCCUUGAGAAGCUUACUUUGGUCAGAAAUUUUGCCUUUGUCUGCAGGCUUCUACCAGUUCGAUUCCAUCUGUGGGUCUUAGGGUGAGUAAAGUGCAUCUGCUAGUCCCAUAUGGGUCGCCAAAUUGUAGAGAAGAAAAAAUACUUUUUCUUUGUUUUUAGAAUUUUAGUUGAAACACUUUCCUGAAAACAAAAGUCAGAUUAACAACAACAACAAUAGCAACAACACCCCAGAAGUUUAUUAAUGUGUGCCGUACCUGUCAUGUGGGAGAAGCCUCAGCUUAAAAGUAUUUUUCUCUUAAGGCGGUAGUUAGGGGCCUUGUUUAAGUAGUAGUUUAGUAAAGAGUCAUAACUCAUAUUAAUGACAAAGAAGAGAGCAUCUUGAGGCUUUUCAAUGGCAAGAAAAUGUGUGAAGGUAAAUUUAGGGGAAGACUAAAGUCUGUUCUUAGAUCCUCUGGUGCCAUUGUCUCUGAGCUCUGUUUCUGAGCUCAUCAGCAAGUGUUGUAAAUGGAAUUACAUUUAGAUGGGAAAGGCAGAGAAGAGUGGCAGAGUGUGUCCCUGCAUUUUAGCCUUUCUUUUUAGCUAAACAAUCUCCAGUAUUUUAGAGAGUAAUAUUUUGGUUUCCUUUGAUAAUAGUUAUUUUAACAUCAUUUUGAUUCUAGCAAUGAAA